rnacentral:rRNA from 1 species
GUAGCGAAGUAUGUGAGCCAUGUGCCGAGAAAAGCCGCUAUCGUUUUAUAUGUGCCCGUACCGUAAACCGACACAGGUGGAUGAGGAGAGAAUCCUAAGGCCGACGGAAGAAGCAUUGUUAAGGAACUCGGCAAAAUGACCCCGUAACUUCGGGAGAAGGGGUGCCCACUUCAGGGUGGGCCGCAGAGAAUAGGCUCAAGCAACUGUUUAGCAAAAACACAGGUCUAUGCGAAACCGUAAGGUGAAGUAUAUGGGCUGACGCCUGCCCGGUGCUGGAAGGUUAAGAGGAGAGGUUAGUCGCAAGAUGAAGCUUUGAAUUUAAGCCCCAGUAAACGGCGGCCGUAACGAUAACGGUCCUAAGGUAGCGAAAUUCCUUGUCGGGUAAGUUCCGACCCGCACGAAAGGCGUAAUGAUUUGAGCACUGUCUCGAUAAUGCAUCCGGUGAAAUUGAAGUACCAGUGAAGAUGCUGGUUACCCGCGCCAGGACGGAAAGACCCCAUGGAGCUUUACUCCAGUUUGGUACUGGGAUUCGGUACUGCAUGUACAGGAUAGGUGGGAGACUGAGAAAUUGGAACGCCAGUUUCAAUGGAGUCACUGUUGGGAUACCACCCCUGCAGUAUUGGGUUUCUAACCAGCCGCUGUGAUCCAGCGGUGGGACAAUGCCAGGCGGGGAGUUUGACUGGGGCGGUCGCCUCCGAAAGGAUAUCGGAGGCGCUCAAAGGUUCCCUCAGAAUGGUCGGAAACCAUUUGAAGAGUGCAAAGGCAGAAGGGAGCUUGACUGCGACACCGACGGGUGGAGCAGGUACGAAAGUAGGACUUAGUGAUCCGGUGGCAUAAAGUGGGAUUGCCAUCGCUCAACGGAUAAAAGCUACCCUGGGAUAACAGGCUUAUCACUCCCAAGAGUUCACAUCGACGGAGUGGUUUGGCACCUCGAUGUCGGCUCAUCGCAUCCUGGGGCUGUAGCAGGUCCCAAGGGUUGGGCUGUUCGCCCAUUAAAGCGGUACGCGAGCUGGGUUCAGAACGUCGUGAGACAGUUCGGUCCCUAUCCGGCGCGGGCGGAGGAUAUUUGAGAGGAGCUGUCCUUAGUACGAGAGGACCGGGAUGGACGGACCACUGGUGUAUCUGCUGUCGACCAACGGCAUGGCAGAGUAGCCAAGUCCGGAAGGGAUAAACGCUGAAGGCAUCUAAGCGUGAAGCCCCCCUCAAGAUGAGAUAUCCCUCACAUAAGUGAGUAAGAUCCCUUGAAGAGUACAAGGUAGAUAGGGCAGAGGUGGAAGCACGGUAACGUGUAGAGCUGACUGUUACUAAUCGAUCGAGGGCUUGAUC